GAACAUAGCAUUAUAUCCAUCUAUCCCUGGAGCUUUAUCAUUACCAAUUGCCUUCAAACUGUUUAGGAUCUCUGUGUCACUGAUGUCAGCUGAUAGCUCCAACCUUUGCUGAUAUGAGAGUUUAGGACCAUUGUUCAUAUACACUUUGUUCACUGCUGGUAGAGAAGUGGCUGCUGUACCCAUGAGUGAUUUAUAGAAAUCUGUAAUCUCCUUGUGUAGGUCAG
rnacentral:lncRNA from 1 species